UGUGUAGGAUUGUUUCAAAAGAUGG
rnacentral:piRNA from 1 species